CCUACGGGAGGCAACAGUGAGGAAUAUUGGUCAAUGGACGAGAGUCUGAACCAGCCAAGUAGCGUGAAGGAUGACUGCCCUAUGGGUUGUAAACCUCUUUUACAAGGGAAUAAAACGAGGCACGUGUGCCUUUUUUGAUGUACCUUAUGAAUAAGGAUCGGCUAACUUCGUGCCAGCAGCCGCGGUAAUACGGAGGAUUCGAGCGUUAUCCGGAUUUAUUGGGUUUAAAGGGAGCGUAGAGGGGUUGUUAAGUCAGUUGUGAAAGUUUGCGGCUCAACCGUCAAAUUGCAAUUGAUACUGGCAGUCUUGAGUACAGUUGAGGUAGGCGGAAUUCGUGGUGUAGCGGUGAAAUGCUUAGAUAUCACGAAGAACCCCGAUUGCGAAGGCAGCUUACUAAACUGUGACUGACAUUGAUGCUCGAAAGUGUGGGUAUCAAACAGGAUUAGAUACCCUUGUAGUC
rnacentral:rRNA from 1 species